ACAGCAGUAGCCACGGUAAUACGUAGGGUGCAAGCGUUAAUCGUAAUUACUGGGCGUAAAGCGUGCGCAGGCGGUUAUAUAAGACAGAUGUGAAAUCCCCGGGCUCAACCUGGGAACUGCAUUUGUGACUGUAUAGCUAGAGUACGGCAGAGGGGGAUGGAAUUCCGCGUGUAGCAGUGAAAUGCGUAGAUAUGCGGAGGAACACCGAUGGCGAAGGCAAUCCCCUGGGCCUGUACUGACGCUCAUGCACGAAAGCGUGGGGAGCAAACAGGAUUAGAUACCCCCGUAGUCCCUGUCUCUUAUAC
rnacentral:rRNA from 1 species